rnacentral:rRNA from 1 species
UAGGUUUCCUUGCUGCCUCUUGCUUGUCUCUGGCCUGCCGCUUGCGUUCAUCCUGUCCCCGAUCAGCUUCUGCUCCUAAUGCAUUCCCGAGGUACCGCGCUCAAGUUCUCUGGCCGUCGUUUUGCGACGUCUGGGGUGGACGAACGAUAAUACCGGAUAAUAGAUUAAGUCGCAUGACUUGAUUUUGAAAGAUGCAACUGCAUCACUUUUGGAUGAGCCUGCGUCGCAUUAGAUAGUUGGUGAGGUAACGGCCCACCAAGUCGAUGAUGCGUAGCUGCGCUGAGAGGCGAAACAGCCACAUUGGGACUGAGAACGGCCCAAACUCCUACGGGAGGCAGCAGUAGGGAAUUUUCGGGCCAAUGGGGGGAAACCCUGACCGAGCAAUGCCGCGUGAAUGAUGACGAUCUUCGGAUUGUAAAGUUCUGUUGUAGAGGACGAAUGGUAGGUAGAGUGGAAAGCUAUCUAUUUGACGGUACUUUACUAGAAAGCCCCGGCUAACUAUGUGCCAGCAGCCGCGGUAAUACAUAGGGGGCGAGCGUUAUCCGGAAUUAUUGGGCGUAAAGAGUGGCGGUAGCGGUUUAUUAAGUCUGGUGUGAAAUCCAUAGCCUUACUAUGGCGGUCAUUGGGUACUGGUCAACUGGAUACAGUUAGGCCAGUGGGAAUAUAUCUCACACGAUUGGG